rnacentral:rRNA from 1 species
GAUGAACGCUGGCGGCGUGCCUAAUACAUGCAAGUCGAGCGAACAGAUGAGGAGCUUGCUCCUCUGACGUUAGCGGCGGACGGGUGAGUAACACGUGGAUAACCUACCUAUAAGACUGGGAUAACUUCGGGAAACCGGAGCUAAUACCGGAUAAUAUAUUGAACCGCAUGGUUCAAUAGUGAAAGACGGUUUUGCUGUCACUUAUAGAUGGAUCCGCGCCGCAUUAGCUAGUUGGUAAGGUAACGGCUUACCAAGGCAACGAUGCGUAGCCGACCUGAGAGGGUGAUCGGCCACACUGGAACUGAGACACGGUCCAGACUCCUACGGGAGGCAGCAGUAGGGAAUCUUCCGCAAUGGGCGAAAGCCUGACGGAGCAACGCCGCGUGAGUGAUGAAGGUCUUCGGAUCGUAAAACUCUGUUAUUAGGGAAGAACAAAUGUGUAAGUAACUAUGCACGUCUUGACGGUACCUAAUCAGAAAGCCACGGCUAACACGUG